rnacentral:lncRNA from 1 species
GGGGACAACAGAUUGUGGGACAUGCAUGUACUUGUUUUGCACAGCCGCGCAUGACCGCAAAGUUUUCUUUGCUUGCAGGGAAAUUGCCAUGUUUCUCGAAGGGAUUAGCUAAAGAGGUUAGCUAGUCAAACGACAAUAUUCACGUUAGUUUCCAAGUUUCCUCGUAGUAAAAUAAGUCCCGAUUUUUAAAUCUAUCUCACAUGUCUUUUAUACAACACACACUUUCUAUCAUCUGGGUGUAUCGACCGUCACUGAUUCAUCAUUGAUGGACGAAAUAAAAUUGGAGCUGAGAGGCACGAGGGAUGGUCUUCUAUCAUCGUUGAUAGAGGAAAUAGGAAUCGACACUAAGAGGCUUUAAAGGACCCUGUAUUCAUCGAUUGGGUAUGUACUAACAUGAAGGUGCCCCGCUGUCCCAUGUCAUUAUUUUAGCACAUGGCCAGGCUAGUAAUGUUCUGCUAUCUUAACCUUCAUGUUAUGCAGAGUAAUAUCAUACAUUUUGUAUGUCAUAUAUAGGUUCUCAUCUCAUCGGAUGCACGACUCUCGACCAUACCCCGGUUUUAAUAGUUGGGAAUUGUGGCCAAACACUCCGGACUCUUUGUCUAGACAUCGGAUACAUUGAAAACUUCUUACCAUAUAUCCCAAUAAGACAUGACUAAAAUCACCGGUCACCACACAUGCUACAAAAUCGAGUAUGUCCAUGAACAACAUAGGAUGGCUUCCUCUAGACAACAACAACAUCGAAAGACGCACGAUCAUGAGUUGGUUUACUACACUCACGAGAACAAAACUUGAUUUUGAACUUGGAUAAGGAUAGUCGGGAUGACAAGAUAAAAAGCUCAAUAAAAGCAUCAUACAAUUUGAAUAUAAUGUAAUACAAUCUCUAGAGGUGACUUCAAACGGUCAACAAAAUAGCAGGUCGUUUCACCUUCUUCUUACAUUUUGAAGUCUAGUGCAUGGCUUGUUUUAUGCCAAUGAUCACGUGACUGUUGCGGUGACGGGCAUCCACAAGAUCUGGGUCGUGCAGAACUUGCCCCGCCAUGGGCGCGCGCACACAUUCGGAUCCCGUUGGCUAGUCCUCACCGGACGCAUGUCUCAUCCUUGUUGGUCACCGUCGAUGCAAUCAUCGUUGUGCACAAUCUGCUCCACCAGCUGUGCGUUCAUAGCGUUGGUCUGACCACAUCCCAUCCCUAGGGCUCAUCCCAGUCCCACCUCCCAUUAAUCUCUCGAUGGUCGUGGUUGCGGGGUGUUCGAUCCAAGUUUCGUUGGCCUCGAUUGCUCAGGAUUAUUUAGGGGUUUGAUGGAAUAUCCACCUAUUUUAGUUUAUUUAUUUUGAGAUCCCAAAUGUUUCCUUGUUGAAUGUGGCAGGCUAUGAGGAAAUAUUUCGGAUUGUCCUUUUGAAAUUUCGCAAAAAAAUAAAUUACUCUUACGGGAUUGAUUUCCUCUAUAUGGAGGUACUCCAUGACUUCUUGAGUCGGUAUUCCUAACAAUCCUAGGUGCAGCACUAAAUCGCAUUAGCCGUAAGAUCAAGGUAAUUGGAUUGUAUAAUUUAAAUUCAGGACCGUAUAAAGAGCUUAGCGAGUGAGGGGACAACAGAUUGUGGGACAUGCAUGUACUUGUUUUGCACAGCCGCGCAUGACCGCAAAGUUUUCUUUGCUUGCAGGGAAAUUGCCAUGUUUCUCGAAGGGAUUAGCUAAAGAGGUUAGCUAGUCAAACGACAAUAUUCACGUUAGUUUCCAAGUUUCCUCGUAGUAAAAUAAGUCCCGAUUUUUAAAUCUAUCUCACAUGUCUUUUAUACAACACACACUUUCUAUCAUCUGGGUGUAUCGACCGUCACUGAUUCAUCAUUGAUGGACGAAAUAAAAUUGGAGCUGAGAGGCACGAGGGAUGGUCUUCUAUCAUCGUUGAUAGAGGAAAUAGGAAUCGACACUAAGAGGCUUUAAAGGACCCUGUAUUCAUCGAUUGGGUAUGUACUAACAUGAAGGUGCCCCGCUGUCCCAUGUCAUUAUUUUAGCACAUGGCCAGGCUAGUAAUGUUCUGCUAUCUUAACCUUCAUGUUAUGCAGAGUAAUAUCAUACAUUUUGUAUGUCAUAUAUAGGUUCUCAUCUCAUCGGAUGCACGACUCUCGACCAUACCCCGGUUUUAAUAGUUGGGAAUUGUGGCCAAACACUCCGGACUCUUUGUCUAGACAUCGGAUACAUUGAAAACUUCUUACCAUAUAUCCCAAUAAGACAUGACUAAAAUCACCGGUCACCACACAUGCUACAAAAUCGAGUAUGUCCAUGAACAACAUAGGAUGGCUUCCUCUAGACAACAACAACAUCGAAAGACGCACGAUCAUGAGUUGGUUUACUACACUCACGAGAACAAAACUUGAUUUGAACUUGGAUAAGGAUAGUCGGGAUGACAAGAUAAAAAGCUCAAUAAAAGCAUCAUACAAUUUGAAUAUAAUGUAAUACAAUCUCUAGAGGUGACUUCAAACGGUCAACAAAAUAGCAGGUCGUUUCACCUUCUUCUUACAUUUUGAAGUCUAGUGCAUGGCUUGUUUUAUGCCAAUGAUCACGUGACUGCUGCGGUGACGGGC